rnacentral:rRNA from 1 species
UGCGUAGGCGGAUAAAUAAGUCAGUGGUGAAAUCUCUCGGCUCAACCGAGAAACUGCCAUUGAAACUGAUAGCCUUGAGUAUGGUUGUGGUAGGCGGAAUAUAGCAUGUAGCGGUGAAAUGCUUAGAUAUGCUAUAGAACACCGAUCGCGAAGGCAGCUUACCAAACCAUUACUGACGCUCAUGCACGAAAGCGUGGGGAGCAAACAGGAUUAGAUACCCUGGUAGUCC